rnacentral:tRNA from 2 species
GCGGAUGUGGCGGAAUUGGCAGACGCGCUAGAUUCAGGUUCUAGUGGUUGCAAAAUUGUGCAGGUUCAAGUCCUGUCAUCCGCACCA